rnacentral:rRNA from 1 species
CCUACGGGAGGCAGCAGUGGGGAAUAUUGCGCAAUGGGCGAAAGCCUGACGCAGCGACGCCGCGUGAGGGAUGAAGGUCUUCGGAUCGUAAACCUCUGUCAGCAGGGAAGAACGGUCACUGUGCUAAUCAGCAGUGAAUUGACGGUACCUGCAAAGGAAGCACCGGCGAACUCCGUGCCAGCAGCCGCGGUAAUACGGAGGGUGCGAGGGUUAAUCGGAAUUACUGGGCGUAAAGCGCUCGUAGGCGGUAUGUCAAGUCAAGGGUGAAAUCCCCGCGCUCAACGUGGGAACUGCCUUUGAAACUGGCAGACUGGAGUGUGUGAGAGGAUAGUGGAAUUCCAGGUGUAGGAGUGAAAUCCGUAGAUAUCUGGAGGAACAUCAGUGGCGAAGGCGACUAUCUGGCACAUAACUGACGCUGAGGAGCGAAAGCGUGGGUAGCAAACAGGAUUAGAUACCCCAGUAGUC